rnacentral:rRNA from 1 species
CGGGCUGGAUCACCUCCUUCUAGACUGCAGAAAGGAGUGGCUAACGGGUCAUUAACACGUGGGUAACCUGCCCAUCAUAAGGGGAUAACACUUGGAAACAGGUGCUAAUACCGUAUAACACUAUUUUCCGCUUGGAAUAAAGUUGAAAGGCGCUUUUGCGUCACUGAUGGAUGGACCCGCGGUGCAUUAUCUAGUUGGUGAGGUAACGGCUCACCACGGACACGAUGCAUAGCCGACCUGAGAGGGUGAUCGGCCACACUGGGACUGAGACACGGCCCAGACUCCUACGGGAGGCAGCAGUAGGGAAUCUUCGGCAAUGGACGAAAGUCUGACCGAGCAACGCCGCGUGAGUGAAGAAGGUUUUCGGAUCGUAAAACUCUGUUGUUAGAGAAGAACAAGGAUGAGAGUACAACGUUCAUCCCUUGACGGUAUCUAACCACAAAGCCACGGCUAACUACGUGCCAGCAGCCGCGGUAAUACAUAUGUGGCAAGCGUUGUCCGGAUUUAUUGGGCG